AAUAGAGAUUUUCCUGGAAUCAGGAGAGUUUUAUGUUUAAGCCCCUUGACACAAGGGAAUUGAGCCCCCAAACUUUCAUGUUCUAGGUUGGUAUUUGGAAGGAUAAGCUCUUCAGAAGAGAUGCUGCUGGUAUUUCUUCCUUAGGAAGCAUCCCCAAGGGCUCCAUGGGACCGCAGAACAACUCAGGAUGAAGGAGACCUUGGGCUUAGCACCUUGUCCAUCCUCCGGAUAAUCCUUCACCAAAAUGCCACGUAGGAGUCCCACCACUGCUGUCUGUUCUUUUCACUGUACAGAGAGUGGUGGGAUCAGGACAUUGCAGUAGAAUGUUUGUACAGUUUUACUACUGAAGGAGAAAAAAAGAAGUCUGGCUGGCACUCUUACACGCCAGGACAGAUCAGGCAUGACCCAGUGCUCCAAGGAGUCAUUUCUUUCCUCCUCAAGGCAACUGCACAGCACAUCUUUCUGGAAGGUCUACAGAUAAUCACCCCUCACUGUUACCCACUAUGAACGAUUCCAUAUUCUCUAUGUGUACAUUUAAUACAUCCCUUUAAAUUGAUGCAGAAUGCUGGGGAUCCCCACUCUUUUUCUCUUAGCUCUUUAACGUGACUGAUGAACAGUUGGCUAAUCCCUUCCCUCAGUAUGAGCAUCUUCGAGUCAGAAUCAGUGGAAAGACCCCGAGGAAAUUAUUUUUGGCCUCCUAGUCAUAAAGGAGUAGGUCAUGCAAACCAAACACACCUCUACUUCCUUUGCUCUGGGCUAUUCCCCUGGGCUGGAGCAGACCCAGAGGGCAGGAUGUCUCACAGGGAGCUUAGUGCAUGGAGGCUAUGCAAUCUCCUUGUUAGGUGUAUAAGCAUUUGCAUAGGUAAAUUCUACUCGAUGGGAAACAGGUGGAAGGAAAUGGGCAGGCAGGAUCUUCCCCUUCUUCCUCUUUCAGUGGGCAAUGAGCCUAUGAGAGUGUGGGCUCUUGUUUUAAUCAUUUGUCUUGCAUUGCUCAAACUAAUCAGUAGUUAAGGCAUAGCAUCGGUAAAAUCUGAGCCCAGGUUCUGCUAUCUCCUUCAUUAAAUGCAUGGCGGUGUGGCAAGCUGCAGUUCUUCAUAAACUGAGUCCCUUUCCAAUUGUUUUUAAUGAGUUGUAUUAUAAGAACAUUAUUUGUGUGUAUAGAUAUGAGACUUCUCACAAAUCAGAAAUGUCUCAUAAUGCUGAUAAAAUGGGGACUUAGAAUGAAGAAUUUCUUCACCUACCACAAUAACAAACGUGUUGGAUGUCUUAACCUAUGCUACACUGCAGUAUAUAUUGAUGACUGUGUAUCAUACUUUUAAACGUAAUGAAGACAAGCUAACAAAUCCUGUGCCUCUGGAAAAGCCAUCCUUUGCAAAUCCAGUCUAUACAUAAUCUUAAACAGCAUUCAUCCUGAUAGCAAAUACUAAAUGUAUUUUGUAAUGUAGAGAGAGAGAAUGGCUGCUGGUUGGAUGACAUUAGCAAAUAGGCCAUCCCUAAUCUGCUCUUCAGCGCAUGACCUACAUCUUGUUGCUAUCAUUCCUCUUUUCUUUGAAUGAAUAACUCUCAUUUCAUGAGGCUUUUCUGAGCAGAACCCAUCCUUCAGUGUGCCUAGUACAUACCAGGUACUUUUGCCUUCUUGCAUUCUGAUUCCUGUUUCCCAAUGCAGAACCGACACAGAUCUCCUAAAAUACAGUAUCAUAAAUAUCAAGCCACAGCCCCUAGGACCCAAAAUAUUACUUAUCUUAGAGCCAACAGUCAGGACAGUACCACAGACAUAUACUUUCCUAUACACAGGAUAAGGCUGGGAUCAUCAACUGGAGCUGAUGUCAGAAGGGCUGUGCGAUACUCAGGGCAAAGCCAAAGCUGCCAAGUAUCACUAGAGCUGUGAAAAGGAGGAGAAAUCCCCACCAAAUGGCAAACCAUUGGUCAUAGCCCAGCCUGGACGUGCUCUGUAAAGAGCUUUUCUGAUGUAAAUGGUGUUCUUCAGGCUUUCAGGAGGCUGGCUGGGAAAAUGACUGUACAAAGGAUUUUUGUUGUUACUUGGCCUGAUGGCUCACUCAGCAUCUUGGUGUCCUCACUGCCUUUUGGUCAGAGUCAUGUUAUUAUGAGUAGAUAAUUGUAUAGUUAGCUUGUAGCUCCCUGGUUAAGACUACAAUUUAAAAUAAUGAAGGAAUUUAAUUUAUAUCAGUGAUGCUCCCCAUAUGAACUCAGCACAAGGCUAUAAUAAGCUAAUUUAUAAGUGAUGCAUAUUUCCUUCAAACCCAGCCAAAAUGAAAAAUAUAAAAAUGAGAAGAAAUGACUGCUUCUGCACUUACAAGAGUGCACUCCAAAAAGAGGACUGAGCUGGUUAAAAUUGCAUCUG
ensembl:lncRNA